rnacentral:ncRNA from 1 species
UGAUUGACGAUGAUAGGGACAGUACGUUUUUUCAUUUGCUUUUAUAGCGAACCGGGGAUGGUGAAAGCCUGGGAAAGUAGAAGAUUCGAAAGAUCACCCUUGAGUUCCAAGUUGAAAGCCAUUCGCGAAUGGACUAGUAAACAUUGGCGUGUGUUCACGUUACGAAUGCUUAGAGGAUAGUAGCUUAUAGCCACUGUCAAUUAGGGUGGUACCGCGGGAAACCUUCUCGUCCCUUUU